CAGCCGCCACGGGAAUACGUAGGGAGCAAGCGUUGUUCGGAUUUACUGGGCGUAAAGGGCGCGUAGGCGGCGCGGUAAGUCACUUGUGAAAUCUCUGAGCUUAACUCAGAACGGCCAAGUGAUACUGCUGUGCUAGAGUGCGGAAGAGGCAACCGGAAUUCUUGGUGUAGCGGUGAAAUGCGUAGAUAUCAAGAGGAACACCUGAGGCGAAGGCGGGUUGCUGGGCCGACACUAACGCUGAUGCGCGAAAGCCAGGGGAGCAAACGGGAUUAGAUACCCGCGUAGUCCCUGUCUCUUAUAA
rnacentral:rRNA from 1 species